rnacentral:tRNA from 1 species
GGCCGGUUAGCUCAGUAGUUUGAGCAUGGUGCUGGCAAUAAGGAUCAACACCGUGGUCGCAGGUUCGAUUCCUGCUCGGUCC